UGCUUGGGAAACUGCCCAGUCGUGGGGACGAACCAUUGGAACGAUGGCUAAUACCGCAUACGCCCUACCGGGGAAAGGGAAGGGACGUCUUCGGAGCCUUUCGUCGAUUGGAUGUGCCCAACGUGGGAGUUAGCUAGUUGGUGAGGUAAAGGCUCACCAAGGCGACGAUCCCUAGCUGGUUUGAGAGGAUGAUCAGCCACACUGGAACUGAGACACGGUCCAGACUCCUACGGGAGGCAGCAGUGGGGAAUAUUGCACAAUGGAGGAAACUCUGAUGCAGCCAUGCCGCGUGUAUGAAGA
rnacentral:rRNA from 1 species